rnacentral:rRNA from 1 species
AUAGGACUUCGGUUCUAUUUUGUUGGUUUUGAGAUCCGAAGUAAUGAUCAAAAGAGACAGGCGGGGACGUUUGUAUGGUAGCGAUAGAGGUGAAAUUCAUUGACCGUUACCAGACACACUAAAGCGAAAGCAUUCGUCAAGCAUGUUUUCAUUGACCAUGAGCGAAAGUCAGAGGCUCGAAGACGAUCAGAUACCGUCCUAGUUCUGACCAUAAACGAUGCCAACUGACGAUCUGUGACGGAUAACCUUGUUUAGUUUCCCACAGGCAGUCUCCGGGAAACCUUUAAGUGUGUGGGUUCCGGGGGAAGUAUGGUUGCAAAGCUGAAACUUAAAGGAAUUGACGGAAGGGCACCACCAGGAGUGGAGCCUGCGGCUUAAUUCGACUCAACACGGGAAAACUCACCCGGCCCGGACACUGUGAGGAUUGACAGAUUGAGAGA